AGGAGAGACAUCAAAUUAAUGGAGAAAGAUUGAUGGCCUGCAACUUAGCUACUACUAAUUAAUUACUUUGAUUCGUUGGGGGCAAACCACGGAUGAGAGAAAUGAGCUGCUGUUGACUCGAGCACCUCGUUGUAGGCGCCGGCAGUGCAGGAGGUAGCGCAGGCAGGGCGGGCGGAGGUAGCCUAGGCCUCGGGACGUGUUGCGCGGCAAAUAGGCGAUGGACAGAGGUGGCCGAGCGGCGGGCGGCCGGAGGCAGCAUGGGCGUUGCGUUGCGGACGCAACAGUCGCGAGGGAGCAGGCGCGGGGAAGCGGUGGCAGCGACCGCGAGGGAGCCGGCGCGGGGGAGCGAUGGCGGUCGGAGCAACGGGAGUAGACGCAGGCGAGAGGGAGCGGUGGCCUGCGCGGCGGCCAUGGCGGCCGGAUCCACGCAGGACAUGGAGGAUAUGCGGCGGCCGGCCCUCCGUCCUCCCUUCUCCCGCGCCCUCCCAUGGAGGCGGCGGCGGUGGAGGCCUGCGCGGCGGCCAUGGCGACCGGAUCCGCGCAGAGCAUGGCGGAUCUACGAUGGCUGGUCCUCCGCUCCCUCGUCCUCCCUCCUCCCUUCGAUUCGAGUGCUCGCCGCCCACGGCGUGGAUGCCGACACGCGCGCCGCCAUCCGUCGCAGGGCCGUCAAGGUCGUCCAGGUCACCAGCAAUGCGCUCGCCCUCGUCAAUGCCACGACAGGGGUGUUGCCCUUCCUCCCCAUUAGCUUACAACUGAGGUAAGGCAUGGUCUCUCCUGCCUUCUUCAUGUUCGAUGAAAUGCAUAAGCUAUAUCAUUUAUGUAUCACUGGUACUUUUAGGAUAGCAAAUUGGAAGCUCGUGCAUGCUAACAUCGCUGAUACCUAUUUGUCUACUGAAUUGAAGAUAUGCAUCUGAUUUUUGUCAAUUCGUUCCAACACAUGUGAGUCCUCGGGUAUGGCAAUGGUUGGGGGCAUCAUCUUCUAAUCUAGGGUUUUAGCUUCAAUUGGAGAUGCGUGGGUGAGCGCUGCUUUUCAUUCCCAUUCUUGAUUGAAAGUCAAAUCACUGUUGGCUGAUGAUGCAGUGCUAUAAUUUCUAGUACAGGAAGUGAUAGCACUUGUGUGUUUUGCCACCACCGGCUUGAUGAAGUUAUGUCCAAACUGAAAGAUCCAAAUGCGGAGGUAAUUGCUUUGUGCCGUUCAUAAUUUCAGACUUUUUGGACCCAACACUUCAUUUUUUAUGUCUGUAGUUUGAGAUAAUUCAAAUUCUCAUCAAGGAGUGCAAUAAGAUCGAAGGUCAUGUCCAGCAGGUAAGCAAUUUGGUACCUUUUUCCUACUAUCCACUGAUGUGUAAACUUUUGCUUAAAUUGCAGAAAUUUUAGAUUUAGUUCCCUGCAAGAACAAAAACUUGCAUAAAUGUUUAUCGUUAGAACUGUGUGUAUAAAUCUGAAGUUUAAUACUAGGAGAUGUUUUCUGCUUCUUUAGUUAAUGUAUUAGGCAAGCAUGGCAUGCAUUUAAUCAUAUUAUUAUCUUGUUGCCGGUGCAAGAGAUUAGUCCUGCAAUACAUUCCCCUUAUCAUGGUCAAUGGCGAGAAGUUCCUUGAGAAGAAUAAUGAUGUGUGCGUACAAGCGUGUAUGAAUGUAACUGUGUGGAUGUAAUAAAAGAAUAGAAAAAAAAUGAUUUCUUUUUUUUU